rnacentral:snRNA from 1 species
AUAGGUUGACCCAACCCAUUU